rnacentral:rRNA from 1 species
GACGAACGCUGGCGGCGUGCUUAACACAUGCAAGUCGAACGGAAAGGCCCUGCUUUUGUGGGGUGCUCGAGUGGCGAACGGGCGAGUAACACGCGAGUAACCUGCCCUUGACUUUGGGAUAACUUCAGGAAACUGGGGCUAAUACCGGAUAGGAGCUCCUGCUGCAUGGUGGGGGUUGGAAAGUUUCGGCGGUUGGGGAUGGACUCGCGGCUUAUCAGCUUGUUGGUGGGGUAGUGGCUUACCAAGGCUUUGACGGGUAGCCGGCCUGAGAGGGUGACCGGCCACAUUGGGACUGAGAUACGGCCCAGACUCCUACGGGAGGCAGCAGUGGGGAAUAUUGCACAAUGGGCGGAAGCCUGAUGCAGCAACGCCGCGUGCGGGAUGACGGCCUUCGGGUUGUAAACCGCUUUCGCCUGUGACGAAGCGUGAGUGACGGUAAUGGGUAAAGAAGCACCGGCUAACUACGUG